UUCCGUGACCAUACCAUCUUGAAUGUGUCUAAUCUAAUGCCGUCUUGGAAGCUAAACAUUGUUGGGCCUGGUUAGUACUUGAAUGUGACAUAAGGGCAUACAUUUGAUGUGGUUC
rnacentral:rRNA from 1 species